UAUUGGGAUUCGAUUUAGCCAUGCUAGUCGAACGAGUUUAGACUCGUGGCGAAUAGCUCAGUAACACGUGGCCAAGCUCCCCUUCAGUCAGCGAUACCCUCGGGAAACUGAGGUUAACAGCUGAUACAAAACGCCAGCUGGAAUGCGGCGUUUCAGAAAGACAUCGCUGAAGGGUGCGGCUGCGGCCGAUUAGGUAGACGGUGGGGUAACGGCCCACCGUGCCAGUAAUCGGUACGGGUGAUGAGAGUCAGAGCCCGGAGACGGAAUCUGAGACAAGAUUCCGGGCCCUACGGGGCGCAGCAGGCGCGAAACCUUUACACUGCACGGAAGUGCGAUAGGGGAAUCCCAAGUGCGAGGGCAUAUUAGCCCUCGCUUUUCUCGACUGUAAGGUGGUCGACGAAUAAGAGCUGGGCAAGACCGGUGCCAGCCGCCGCGGUAAUACCGGCAGCUCAAGUGAUGUCCCAUAUUAUUGGGCCUAAAGCGUCCGUAGCUGGCCGACCAAGUCUCCCGGGAAAUCCACCCGCCCAACGGGUGGGCGUCCGGUAGAAACUGGCCGGCUUGGAACCGGAAGGCUCAGAGAGUACGUCCGGGGUAGGAGUGAAACCCCGUAAUCCCGGACGGACUACCGAUGGCGAAAGCACUCUGAGAAGACGGCUUCGACAGUGAGGGACGAAAGCUCGGGUCUC
rnacentral:rRNA from 1 species